rnacentral:rRNA from 1 species
GAUGAACGCUAGCGGCAGGCCUAAUACAUGCAAGUCGAACGGGAUCCAGAUCAAAGCUUGCUUUGGUUUGGUGAGAGUGGCGUACGGGUGCGUAACGCGUGAGCAACCUACCCUUGUCAGGGGGAUAGCCCGGCGAAAGUCGGAUUAAUACCGCAUGACAUCAUUGAGAGGCAUCUUUCGAUGAUCAAAGAUUUAUCGGACAAGGAUGGGCUCGCGCGACAUUAGCUAGUUGGUAAGGUAACGGCUUACCAAGGCUGCGAUGUCUAGGGGCUCUGAGAGGAGAAUCCCCCACACUGGUACUGAGACACGGACCAGACUCCUACGGGAGGCAGCAGUAAGGAAUAUUGGUCAAUGGACGGAAGUCUGAACCAGCCAUGCCGCGUGCAGGAAGACGGCCCUAUGGGUUGUAAACUGCUUUUAUACGGGAACAAACGUCGGUACGUGUACCGGUCUGAGUGUACCGUAAGAAUAAGGAUCGGCUAACUCCGUG